rnacentral:rRNA from 1 species
GAUGAACGCUGGCGGCGUGCCUAAUACAUGCAAGUCGAGCGAACAGACGAGGAGCUUGCUCCUCUGACGGUAGCGGCGGACGGGUGAGUAACACGUGGAUAACCUACCUAUAAGACUGGGAUAACUUCGGGAAACCGGAUCUAAUACCGGAUAAUAUAUUGAACCGCAUGGUUCAAUAGUGAAAGACGGUUUUGCUGUCACUUAUAGAUGGAUCCGCGCCGCAUUAGCUAGUUGGUAAGGUAACGGCUUACCAAGGCGACGAUGCGUAGCCGACCUGAGAGGGUGAUCGGCCACACUGGAACUGAGACACGGUCCAGACUCCUACGGGAGGCAGCAGUAGGGAAUAUUCCGCAAUGGGCGCAAGCCUGACGGAGCAACACCGCGUGAGUGAUGAAGGUCUUCGGAUCGUAAAACUCUGUUAUUAGGGAAGAACAACUGUGUAAGUAACUAUGCACGUCUUGACGGUACCUAAUCAGAAAGCCACGGCUAACUACGUG